GACGAACGCUGGCGGCGUGCCUCAUACAUGCAAGUCGAGCGGACUGACUUCGGUCAGUCAGCGGCGGACGGGUGAGUAACACGUGGGUAACCUGCCCAUAAGAGGGGGAUAACAUCCGGAAACGGGUGCUAAUACCGCAUAGGUUUCUUGGUCGCAUGAUCGAGAAAGGAAAGACGGCCUUUGCGCUGUCGCUUAUGGAUGGACCCGCGGCGUAUUAGUUAGUUGGUGAGGUAAUGGCUCACCAAGACGAUGAUACGUAGCUGACCUGA
rnacentral:rRNA from 1 species